rnacentral:rRNA from 1 species
GACGAACGCUGGCGGCGUGCCUAAUACAUGCAAGUUGAGCGCUGAAGGUUGGUACUUGUACCAACUGGAUGAGCAGCGAACGGGUGAGUAACGCGUGGGGAAUCUGCCUUUGAGCGGGGGACAACAUUUGGAAACGAAUGCUAAUACCGCAUAAAAACUUUAAACACAAGUUUUAAGUUUGAAAGAUGCAAUUGCAUCACUCAAAGAUGAUCCCGCGUUGUAUUAGCUAGUUGGUGAGGUAAAGGCUCACCAAGGCGAUGAUACAUAGCCGACCUGAGAGGGUGAUCGGCCACAUUGGGACUGAGACACGGCCCAAACUCCUACGGGAGGCAGCAGUAGGGAAUCUUCGGCGAUGGACGAAAGUCUGACCGAGCAACGCCGCGUGAGUGAAGAAGGUUUUCGGAUCGUAAAACUCUGUUGGUAGAGAAGAACGUUGGUGAGGGUGGAAAGCUCAUCAAGUGACGGUAACUACCCAGAAAGGGACGGCUAACUACGUG